CUGACGCAAGAAGAUCUCGUGCUGUGACCCUUUAGAGGGAAGCACUUUCUGUUGUCUGAAAACAAAGAAUGUGCAUCCUUUCAGAGGGUUACUCUUUGAGAAGAGCAACGUUUAAAUUG
rnacentral:miRNA from 1 species